AACGAACGCUGGCGGCAGGCUUAACACAUGCAAGUCGAACGCACCUUUCGGGGUGAGUGGCAGACGGGUGAGUAACGCGUGGGAAUCUACCCUUCUCUACGGGAUAGCUCCGGGAAACUGGAAUUAAUACCGUAUACGUCCUGAGGGAGAAAGAUUUAUCGGGGAAGGAUGAGCCCGCGUUGGAUUAGCUAGUUGGUGGGGUAAAGGCCUACCAAGGCGACGAUCCAUAGCUGGUCUAAGAGGAUGAUCAGCCACAUUGGGACUGAGACACGGCCCAAACUCCUACGGGAGGCAGCAGUGGGGAAUAUUGGACAAUGGGCGCAUGCCUGAUCCAGCCAUGCCGCGUGAGUGAUGAAGGCCCUAGGGUUGUAAAGCUCUUUCAGUGGGGACGAUAAUGACGGUACCCACAGAAGAAGCCCCGGCUAACUUCGUG
rnacentral:rRNA from 1 species